rnacentral:tmRNA from 1 species
GGGGAUGACUAGGCUUCGACAGGGAGGGCUGGUCAGCGAUUGCAAGCCGAGGUGCCUCAACCUCGAUAAUCAGGGGCAAACACCAUAGGUGCCAAAAACACUUAUACUCCGGCCUACGCCCUGGCCGCCUAGCGGCGGAACGGGCGAAAGCCACUGAUCGACCAAGAGUCGAUCACGUCUGCUCCUCUGCUUCUCCCGAGAGCGAGGAAGCGGGCGACGACUAAUUCGGGAUGCGGUCAGUGUGACGCCGAUGGGGCUGGCCAAAGAUGCAUCGGCUGGUGGGCUGAGGACUCUGUCGGGCGAGGCCCGGCCCACGAGAACCCAAAGCACCGACUAAGCUUGUAGCAUAUCUCUGGUCGAACUUUCUGGACGCGGGUUCGAUUCCCGCCAUCUCCACUU